CUCCGACGUCGGCCGUUAUUUUUUUCCAAUUUUUAUUUCGGGAAAAUAUCAAAAACAAAACAAAAAAGGAAGAAAUAAAAAGAGGUGAUUCGAAUCGAUUUCUCAUUUAUGUGUAAAUAAAAACUAGAUCGAGAGCUAAAUCCAAUAAGGAAUCUGAAUCGUAUUUUUCCUCCAUAGAUGAGAAUCGGCGGCGUCGAGAUUAUGAAAUAUGCGUCGGAGAUGAUGAUGUCUUCUUCUUCGUCGGUGGAAGCGUUGAAUCUCAAGGAGGCUUCGAAUUGGUGGUCGGACGUUAACGAGUCGCCGAUUUGGCAGGAUCGUAUCUUCCAUUUCCUCGCUGUUCUCUACGGGAUCGUUUCCAUCGUUGCUGUGAUUCAACUUGUGAGAAUACAAUUGAGAGUUCCAGAAUAUGGCUGGACGACGCAAAAGGUCUUUCACUUUCUCAAUUUCGUGGUUAAUGGAGUCCGGGCUGUGGUUUUUGUAUUCAGGCGGAAUGUGCAGUUCAUGCAUCCAGAGAUUCUGCAACAUAUCUUGCUUGAUAUUCCAAGUCUUGCUUUCUUCACCACCUAUGCUCUGCUAGUCCUCUUCUGGGCUGAAAUUUACUAUCAGGCGCGUGCGGUGUCCACUGAUGGACUGAGGCCAGGCUUCUUCACUAUUAAUGCAGUUGUGUAUGUAGUUCAGAUUGCUCUUUGGUUGGUUUUGUGGUGGAAGCCUGUUCGGGUUAUGAUAAUCCUAUCAAAGAUGUUCUUUGCAGGUGCUUCAUUGUUCGCUGCCCUUGGAUUUUUACUUUACGGUGGAAGGCUUUUCCUAAUGUUGCAACGGUUUCCAGUAGAAUCUAAAGGGCGGCGCAAAAAGCUGCAAGAGGUGAUCUAUUGUACAAAGCUCACAAGUUGGUUACGUGACAACCAUAUGCUUCACGUGUUUCCUCAUCAGAUGUAUCAUGAUGUGCUUUGCUGCUUUCGAUGAGGGGGCAAACCUUGAUGUGUUGGAUCACCCCAUCCUUAACUUCAUAUAUUACUUGUUGGUAGAGAUAUUACCUUCCUCUCUGGUCCUCUUCAUCUUGAGAAAGCUACCACCAAAACGAGGCAUCACACAAUAUCACCAGAUUCGUUGAAAUGUAAAGACACGACAACAAGUGAUCAGACGAAGACAGGACCGUGUUUCUUUUAUCAGAUAUGUUUUUCUGUGUUCAAUAGAGAGAAAAGCAUAAGAUACAAAUGAAAUAGAUCUAAAGCUGAUCAGUCUUUUUGGUUGAUAAUAGGAGAUGAAUUCGCCUAAGUUUUGGAAAACUGGGUCUUGUUCCCUUUAUAUAGCUAAUGUUGUAAAGAAAAAUAUUUUAAAAAAAAAAGAACAUGGAAGGAUUUGUGCAUGAAAGGAGGAGAAGGAAGGUCCUUUUCUUUUUA